rnacentral:rRNA from 1 species
GAUGAACGCUGGCGGCGUGCCUAACACAUGCAAGUCGAACGGAGUUUAUUAUAGGAAGUUUUCGGAUGAAAUAUAAUAAACUUAGUGGCGGACGGGUGAGUAACGCGUGGGUAACCUGCCUCAUACAGGGGGAUAACAGUCGGAAACGGCUGCUAACACCGCAUAUUAUGUAGAUGUCGCAUGACGACUACAUGAAAAAUUUUAUUGGUAUGAGAUGGGCCCGCGUCUGAUUAGCUAGUUGGUGAGGUAAUGGCUCACCAAGGCAACGAUCAGUAGCCGGCUUGAGAGAGUGACCGGCCACAUUGGGACUGAGACACGGCCCAAACUCCUACGGGAGGCAGCAGUGGGGAAUAUUGCACAAUGGGGGAAACCCUGAUGCAGCGACGCCGCGUGAGUGAAGAAGUAUUUCGGUAUGUAAAGCUCUAUCAGCAGGGAAGAAAAUGACGGUACCUGACUAAGAAGCCCCGGCUAACUACGUGCCAGCAGCCGCGGUAAUACGUAGGGGGCAAGCGUUAUCCGGAUUUACUGGGUGUAAAGGGAGCGUAGGUGGUUCGGUAAGUCAGGUGUGAAAGCCUGGGGCUCAACCCCGGGAUUGCACUUGAAACUAUCGGACUUGAGUGCAGGAGAGGUAAGUGGAAUUCCUAGUGUAGCGGUGAAAUGCGUAGAUAUUAGGAGGAACAUCAGUGGCGAAGGCGGCUUACUGGACUGUAACUGACACUGAGGCUCG